UGCGUGGCAGUGGGCUGGUUUGGUGCAGCCAAAACCUCCUGGGGAGCAGGUCCCUAUUUCCCCCACGUCCCUCUCCCAGCCCUGGACACCUUUUGGAGCUACACUUGAGCUGUACAUGGAUGAAAAUAAGAGCCACGAGCCCUGGGGUUGCUCUUGGUGGCAUUUGGUGGCUGUGGGGCUGAGUCUAGCCAGGGAAGAGGAUGCGUGAGCAGGAUGGGACUCCAGCAGCCCAUCGGCUUAGUGCGGAGGCAAAGCAGUUAACCUGGACAUCAGCUCUUCCUGAGAAUUGUGUAUUGACCCUGACCGCGAUGCAUCAGGAGCGACAGACUCUCCAUCAUCGAUCCCUCUCCUCCCAUCACCAGGUGUCGACACCGACGGUCGCGGAGCCGGCUUUAAUUUCAGGCCUCUGGCUCCAAAGGGUAACACUUAGCCGUGGUCCCAAGGUGCUGCCAGGCUUUGCAAACACCUCCGCGGGCAGGUUGCCAUCCCUGUUUUGGGGCAGGGAUGGCACUUGCCGGGGGCGGCCAGCUGAGCUGGGGAUGGGGCUCACAGUGGACCCGGGAGUUCCCCAGGGCAAUCAGGCAGGGUGGCCUCUUGAGGUGGCCCUUGGUGGAGGACCCAGGGGGGUACAUGGAGCUCCUGCUUUGCCAGUCUUUGCUAGGAAAACCCUCUGGUCUGGUUCCCUCCAUGCCCUCGGUGCCGAACAGCAGAGGAUGCACCCAGGCUGGGGAGUCCCAGUCUUUCUGCACCCCCGUCACCAACUGGGUGACCUCAUUUGGCCAGGAUACUUCUGGUCCUCCCCAUCUCCAAAAUGGCCACGGCCAAAUCUGGUGGGCCGUGUGUGCGUGCCACCCCACGGAGACCUGGUGGGGAGGGUGGUGUUUUCGAUGGGGUGCCUUGAUUUUGGGCAGGAUGAAGCGGCUGGCAGGGGCCGGCUGGCACGCCGCCUCUCCUCCUUCCCAGCAUCUUGAGAUUUCCGAGACGUACGCAACCAGGCUGAGGCUGAAAAAGCUGCUUGUGGUUCAAGAGCAUCUCCUCGACGGCGGAGAGAGGGGGAGGCUUUUCAUUCCUCCCUUUCUUUCGGAGCUAGCUGAGCUCCCCUCGCCGGUGCAGGGGCUCUUCCCGUCCCCCCCCCUGCAAGGGAACGUUA
rnacentral:lncRNA from 1 species